rnacentral:tRNA from 1 species
GGAGGCCUGUCGGUAGGCGGAAGAUGCAGCGAAGAUAAAAUAUACCGACUACGCUCGUAGAUGCUUAAGUGGCGAUAUCUCUGGACGUGGGUUCGACUCCCACCGUCUCCACCA